GCCAGAGUGGCGGAAUUGGUAGACGCAGUGGAUUCAAAAUCCACCGCCCGCAAGGGUGUGCCGGUUCAAGUCCGGCCUCUGGUACCA
rnacentral:tRNA from 2 species